rnacentral:rRNA from 1 species
AGCAGCCGCGGUAAUUCCAGCUCCAAUAGCGUAUAUUAAAGUUGUUGCAGUUAAAAAGCUCGUAGUUGAAUUUCGGGAUCGACGGGUCGGUCGCGCCUCCGGUGUGUUGGCCCUGUCGGUUUCUCCCUUCUGAAGAACCGCGAUGUCAUUAAUUUGGUGUCGUGGGAAAUCAGGACUGUUACUUUGAAAAAAUUAGAGUGUUUAAAGCAGGCAUUCGCUUGAAUACAUUAGCAUGGAAUAAUGAAAUAGGACGUUUGAUCUUAUUUUGUUGGUUUCUAAGAUCGACGUAAUGAUUAAUAGGGAUAGUUGGGGGCAUUAGUAUUCAAUUGUCAGAGGUGAAAUUCUUGGAUUUAUUGAAGACUAACUACUGCGAAAGCAUUUGCCAAGGAUGUUUUCAUUAAUCAAGAACGAAAGUUAGGGGAAUCGAAGACGAUCAGAUACCGUCGUAGUCUUAACCAUAAACUAUGCCGACUAGGGAUCGGAUGAUGUAAUUUUUAAUGACUCAUUCGGCGCCUUACGG